UUAAUGAUGACAAUUGCUACUAUUGAGAUCACAUCUAUGAAGAGACUCAUUAAAAAAAUUCGAUUUGCAUGUCAGUCUGAUCGUAAA
rnacentral:snoRNA from 1 species